ACAUUGCGUAGGAUAGGUGGGAGGCUUUGAAACUGGGAUUCUGGUCCCGGUGGAGCCGUCCUUGAAAUACCACCCUGUGUAUCGUUUUGACCUAACUCGGACCCAUGAAUCUGGGCCGAAGACAGUGUUUGCUGGGCAGUUUGACUGGGGCGGUCUCCUCCUAAAAAGUAACGGAGGAGUGCAAAGGUUGGCUCAGCAUGGUUGGAAACCAUGUGUCGAGUACAAGAGCAUAAGCCAGCUUUACUGCAAGACAUACAGGUCGAGCAGUCUCGAAAGAGGGCUCUAGUGAUCCGGUG
rnacentral:rRNA from 1 species